rnacentral:lncRNA from 1 species
AAAUAGACAAUAUAACCAUAUUGUCCAUAACACAUUCAUAUACAUACAUACAUACAUACAUAUAUAUAUAUAUAUAUAUACAUACAUACAUACAUACAUACAACACACACCAUACCACAUCAAUAUAACAAGUGUCGACAAAUAAGAUCACAAAGGUUGGCCUCCACGUAAGGCAAAACGCAUCAUUGGAUCUAGCAACAACACCACCUAACCUACUGCAUAGACACUAUAGUACAUACCCCAACUCCACAAGCGCACUACAUACUAACUCGUGAUGCCGUCGAUGAUGCAGCAACCACAACCAAAACAAAAAAGGCAAGGGAGGAUGGUGGUCCAGGUUGUUGUCUACGCGCCGCCUCUGUUUGCCAAUUCUAAAUGCCAACACGUCCAGGUUGUGGUUAUGCCAUAAGCAUCAUUACCAUUGCCUCCCGCCCCCCUCAAUCAUGAGGCUUAUUUGCAGCUUCCGCUCAUCCUCCUACUCCAUGUCUCCAUCUGCAUGGACAACAGUAACUUAGUUGAAUGGCAUGCACAUGAUAAAAGUUCAAGGCAUAUAUAUUUAUCUAUAUAAAUUCUACUCAACUACAUUAAUUCUACUACAGUAAAGAGUUUGCAUGGAUGGGUUGACUUCAAAAGAGACUGAAAGGAGAACAUUUUUCCCUUGCCAGUCCAAAACCUGCAGUACAAGUAUACAACUCUAAGGGGAAAUCAUAAAUCUUAGGUUUUGAAGUAGAAGUAAUAUGCUUAUUUAAUCAAACUACUAAGGAUUGUUUGUAGAACAAUUGGUGGUUCCGGUUGCAUAUUAUCCAAAAGGCAUGCGAUUGAUAUAUAUUAUUAAUAAAAUAUAUAAGAUCUUUACUACCAUUUGUAUUGAGUUAGCGUCACAAACUAAACACUCAAGUACCAUGCAAAGAUCGGCUU